GCCUUGUGCUGAAUAAUGCUGGGAAAACUCCGUAGUGGCGCCGGUUUGGAAUCCGACACAACCGUGAAAAAAGUAGAGAUGCCUCGGAAGCAAGCUGAGAAGAAAAAUAUAAAAGAGAAACCAAAAUCGAGUAAGACUGAAGAGGCAGCAGAAGAGGAAGAAAUUAUUCCCCCCAAAGCUAAACAACUUAAAAAGAAAGCAGGUCCUUCUGAGGUUGACAUGAACUCUCCUAAAUCCAAAAAGGCAAAAAAGAAAGAGGAGCCAAGAUGACACGGACUCAAGAUGACACGGUUUCUCCUAAAACCAAAAGUGUGAAAAAGAAAAAGGAACCCUUGGAAAAGAAAGUUUCUUCUCCUAAAACCAAAAAUAUAAUCAGUGAGGAGCCUUCUGAAGAAGAAAUAGGUGCUUCUAAGCCCAAGAGGAUGAAGAAAGAAAAGGAAGUGAAUGGAGAAAUAGGGGAGAAGAGCCCAGAACUGAAGAAUGGAUUCUCUCAUUCUGAAUCUGACUCUAACUCCAUUGAAACUGCCAGUGAAGAAAGUAACAGUGAGAUAGAGCAGGAAAUACCUGUGGAACAAAAAGAAGGAGCUUUCUCUAAUUUUCCCAUAUCUGAAGAGACUAUUAAGCUUCUCAAGGGCCAAGGGGUGACCUUCCUGUUUCCCAUACAAGCAAAGACUUUCUAUCAUGUCUACAAUGGGAAGGACUUAGUGUCACAGGCACGGACAGGAACUGGGAAGACAUUCUCCUUUGCCAUCCCUUUGAUUGAGAAACUUCAGGGAGAACUGCAAGACAGGAAAACAGGUCGUUCCCCUAAGGUACUAGUUCUUGCACCUACAGGAGAGUUGGCAAAUCAAGUAAGCAAAGACUUUAGUGACAUCACAAAAAAGUUGGCAGUGGCCUGUUUUUACGGUGGAACACCCUAUGGAGGUCAAAUUGACCGCAUGCGGAAUGGCAUUGAUAUCCUGGUUGGGACACCAGGUCGUAUCAGAGACCAUAUACAGAAUGGCAAGCUAGAUUUCACCAAACUUAAGCAUGUUGUCCUGGAUGAAGUUGAUCUGAUAGAUGUUGGAUAUGGGUUUUGCUGAACAAGUGGAAGAGAUUUUAUGUGUUGCAUAUAAAAAAGAUUCUGAAGACAAUCCCCAAACAUUGCUUUUUUUCUGCAGCUUGCCCUCAGUGGGUAUUUAAUGUUGCUAAGAAAUACAUGAAAUCUACAUAUGAACAGGUGGACCUGAUUGGUAAAAAGACACAGAAAACGGCAAUAAGUGUGGAGCAUCCGGCUAUCAAGUGCCACUGGAGUCAGAGGGCAGCAGUGAUUGGGGAUGUGAUCCGAGUGUAUAGUGGUCAUCAAGGACGCGCUAUUGUCUUCUGCGAAACCAAGAAGGAAGCUCAGGAGCUGUCACAGAAUUCGGCUAUAACGCAGAAUGGGCUGUCAUUACAUGGAGACAUUCCACAGAGGCAAAGGGAAAUCACCCUGAAAGGUUUCAGAAAUGUUGCUUUUGGAGUUUUGGUGGCAACCGAUGUUGCUGCGCGUGGCUUAGACAUCCCUGAAGUUGAUUUGGUUGUACAAAGCUGUCCACCAAAGGAUGUAGAGUCCUACAUUCAUUGUUCUGGGCGGACAGGUAGAGCUGGAAGGACAGGGGUUUGCAUCUGCUUUUAUCAGCACAAGGAAGAAUAUCAAUUAGUACAAGUGGAACAAAAAGCGGGAACCAAGUUUAAACGAAUAGGUGUCCCUUCUGCAACAGAAAUAAUAAAAACUUCCAGCAGGUUUUUGGAUUCUGUGCUUCCCACUGCCAUUGGUCACUUCAAGGAAUCAGCCCAGAAGCUGAUAGAGGAGAAGGGAGCUGUGGAAGCCCUGGCAGCAGCAUCGGCUCAUAUUUCAGGUGCCACAUCCGUAGACCAGCGCUCCUUGAUCAACUCAGCUGCGGGUUUUGUGACCAUGAUCUUGCGGUGCUCAAUUGAAAUGCCAAACAUUAGUUAUGCUUGGAAAGAACUUAAAGAGCAACUGGGCGAGGAUGUUGAUUCCAAAGUGAAGGGAAUGGUCUUUCUCAAAGGAAAGCUGGGUGUUUGCUUUGAUGUACCCACUGCAUCAGUAACAGAAAUGCAGGAGAAAUGGCAUGAUUUGCGACGCUCGCAGCUCUCUGUGGCCACGGAGCAACCAGAGCUGGAAGGACCACGGCAAGGAUAUGGAGCCUUCAGGCGACAGCGAGAAGGAAGCAGAAACUUCAGGGGACACCGGGACGGCAGUCGAGGCUUCAGGGGACAGUGGUCAGGCGGUGACAACAAAAGUAACAGAUCCCAAAACAAAGGCCAAAAGCGGAGUUUUAGUAAAGCAUUUGGUAAAUAA